UGCCUGAUGUUGAGUCAGAAUCUUCUUUCUUAUAACUUGAAGACAUUGGUUCUAUUCCUACCCUCCAGAGAAGGAGAAAACAAGCUUGCUCCAUCUUCCAUGUGACAUCCCUUGAAAUAUUUGAAGAUGGCUACCAUAUCUCUUCUCAGUCUCCUCUUUUCCAAGCUAAACAUACCCUGCUCCUUCAACC